rnacentral:lncRNA from 10 species
GAGGAGAGCGCGAGCCGAGGAGCUGGGCUAGAGGACGGCUCCGCGCGGCGCGGCGGGUGGGGUGUGGGGGAGGCAGAGUUGCGCUUGGGGAUUGGUUUAACGUUGGUAACUUGGUUUCCAAGGAGGGGGCGGCGGCAGAGGCGGCGGGGGGGCGGGAGGCGAGCGUGCGCUAAGCUCCUGGCCUUGGUGAAGGCGAGCUGGCAGGAGUGAGCGACCCCUGGGGUCUACGUGGAGGCCGGCAUGAUGGCCCAGGGCCUUCUGGGGGCGACCACGCUCUCUCGCGUCAUCCCCGGCCGCGACUCUGGGAUCGGGGGAUGCUGGGUUGCCCUUCCCAAACCCCUACCCCAGCCCUGGCUGAGAUGCCAUGAUAAUAAGCUGGACUCCGAGCCCCGCCCCCACAUUUAGCUCCUCCCACCAGCGCCCCUUAGGGCGGGGAUACAUUUGGGGACUAAGAGAGAUUUGGGAGGCACUGGAUGGGGAAAGGACAGUUCUAGGGGAGGGUGUGGGGAUGCCUCUCUCACUGAUCCUUCUCCUUUUGACCCCGCGGAGCCAUACCUCUAAGCACCCCUCCGGGUCAGCUCCCGCACGCGACGGAGGGGGCGGGACGAAAGUGCCAGCGAGCCGAGGACACGUGUGCGUGCGCGCAGCGUUCGCGGGCGUCUAAAUUAGAAUCCGCUCGGCUCCGGGUCUGUAUUUACCCAGGGUGCAGCGGGCACGUGUCUACUCAGCGUGUGUGAGCUCGAGCCACCCUGGAGCGCCCCUGAGUCCGCCUUCUGCUCGGUGGGUGGGGGCCCUGACAUCCACGCGAGAACAAGGGACCGAGGGUGAUGCUUUUGACUCCGCUUCCGGGCCCCAAGCUUUGACACCCCCCACCCCCAACUCCAUGCGCUCAUCUGGCUGGGUGACUACCAGAACAUCGUCAGAAUUCGAGUUUGUGAUAUUCCCUGUGGACCAUCUGAUCACCCCUUCCCGGCUGCCACCACAUGGAUACCUCUUCUGCGUAUCCACGUCCCUCAAUAUGUCCGUGGGACCCUCCCCUCCCCACCAUUCGUGGUCUCACUCCAGCGUGGUAAGUUAUUUUGGAGAUGAGUUCUCGCUCCACAGUUGUUUGGCCUCCAGGAAAGCACAGGGUCUGAAGGUGGGGCUGGGAUAGGAAACUUAACAUCCAAUCAGAGCUGCCGCGUGGUGGCGGCGGCGCCAAUCAGGAAAGCCAUACCAUGAACCCCACCCCGCCCCUGCCCGUGGCUCUCCCCGGCCCGCGCUGAUCCCACUCGAUAAGGCCAGCAGAAGGAGAGGUUUCUGUGACACCCGCUGGGGAUACACAGAGUCUGGGGCUUCGGGACCCCAGGUGGGCCCUGAGUGAGGAAACCUCAGGUGCCCUCAGGGAGACAAGGAACUUGGAGAAAGUGAUCGCAAAAACAACAACAACAACAAAAACAAACCAGUUCCUCCGAAGAAGGGCAGUAAUGCGGACCCUUAGGUCACAGGACAGAGGCUGGUUAAGGAAGCCUUUAUUGAUUCCAGAGGGUUCCCCCGCCAAUAUUUAUUUUUAUUUUUAUUUUAUUUUUGGAGACAGGGUCGUGCUCUGUCCCCCAGGCUGGAGUGCAGUGGCACGAUCAAGGCUCACUGCA